UUUGAGCCUUUCAAAACCUCAACAGAAAAACUCUUAAAACAUGAAAACCAUCUUCGUUUCCCUUUUGCUCGCUGGUAUGUUCAUGCUUCCUGCCAGGGCACAACCAUUGAUGGAAAAUGUCGAAUCUGGAAGUGACGUUCUUCGGUAUAGUCGCUGCACAACAAUUUGCCCAGCGAUUUGGCAGCCCGUUUGCGCCUCUAAUAACAGUUGCAUCAGGAGAUUUAGCAACACCUGUGUGCUGAAUCAAGAAAACUGCAGAUCAGCUCCUAUACAACGGUACAACGUUAUCCCCGACCAUUACUGUCAAAACGCAAAGCCAUGCCAAUGAAUAACGAACGAUUUAAAUUUGGACUUGGAUUUGUAUACAACUUGAAAUGAGUUAUAAAUAAAAUUUUAUAUGAAAUUUGA